GACGAACGCUGGCGGCGCGCCUAACACAUGCAAGUCGAACGGAGUCAAGAGGAGCUUGCUUUUCUUGACUUAGUGGCGAACGGGUGAGUAACGCGUGAGUAACCUGCCCUGGAGUGGGGGACAACAGUUGGAAACGACUGCUAAUACCGCAUAAGCCCACGGAUCUGCAUGGAUCUGCGGGAAAAGGAUUUAUUCGCUUUAGGAUGGACUCGCGUCCAAUUAGCUAGUUGGUGAGGUAACGGCCCACCAAGGCGACGAUUGGUAGCCGGACUGAGAGGUUGAACGGCCACAUUGGGACUGAGACACGGCCCAGACUCCUACGGGAGGCAGCAGUGGGGGAUAUUGCACAAUGGGGGAAACCCUGAUGCAGCGACGCCGCGUGGAGGAAGAAGGUUUUCGGAUUGUAAACUCCUGUCGUUAGGGACGAUAAUGACGGUACCUAACAAGAAAGCACCAGCUAACUACGUG
rnacentral:rRNA from 1 species